GUUUGAAAUGCAGGGAAGCCCAGAAGCUGUGCAGGUGGGUGCAGGGCAGAGGACAGCUGCCUCCUUCAGCACCACUCCUGCACACCCUGAUCUGCCUGCAGCUCCACGGGGAGAAGCACUGCCCAGAGACCAAAAGCCUUGGGAGCCUUCUGGUGUAGCCAGGAACACCCAGAUGGCAAAAGGACAGCAAGGGAAACAUGCUGAUGUGUCAGAGCUGGGCCCUCCCUGGGUAACUGAGUACUUUCCCAUCAGGAGCUGCCACCGCAUCCUCCGGGAUGGCUCUGGCCUGUUCCACCUCCCGCUGCACGUGGACAUUAAAGCCAACAUCUGGUGCAACUGGACCAUCUGGGCAGGCCCUCAGAAGCACAUUGUUAUCUAUGUCCAAGGGUUCCAGGGGAGUGAUGGCUGUGGCAACAACCAGGACAGGAUCAUCUUCCAGGGGGUCUCGUCAAGCGUGGAAACCAAAGUGGUGUUUGCCUGCCACAACCGAGGCACGCUGGUCUUUGCUGCACAAGCCACUGAGGUGCAGGUGUUGUUUCUGUCAGGGAGCGGUUCCAGAAGCCAUGAAUACAGGUAUUUUAGAGGACAGUACUAUGUAUUCAGAGACUAUGAAACUGUGGGCUCUUCAAGUGAUACCAAAGCAGCUCCCCAGGAGCCUGCCCAGGAGACCUCUAAAAAUGAGAGCUGGAGGACAGUGGAGACCAAAGGUUUGCUGUCCAUGCUGACAGCUCCUCCAGGCCCACCAGCUGCACCUGCUGGUGGCAGGAUCCCGCCUGGUGUUGUGAGCCCAGAAGAGGUGGGCCAACAUUCUCCUGAUCUCAUGGAAGAUGGCCAGUCUGGUGCCAACCAGAGUGAGCGUGGUCAGGAUGAAACCAGGCUGGAAAAGAACCUUAAGGACAGAGGCAGCAAGGGCAGAGAAACUGAACGUGACAUGUUGGUGAAACCAGCUCCAGGGCAGGACACUGGGGGCAAAGCUGAGCCACCUGCCUUGGAGCUGUCCCCUGGAACAGCUCUGGUCACCAUGGUCCCAUGUCACCCAGCUGGCUCUCCUUGCUCAGAGAAGCCCAGCAGCAGUGUAGGUGUCUCUGCCAGUGGCAGCCCCUCAGAAGUGCCAGCUGCUGCACAUCACACACAGACACCAGAGCUGGCAGAGCCACCGCUGAGCACCAGCACAAAACCACCUCUCUACCCCUCUCCUGGUGUGACUGCUGCUGAUGUGGUGCCUCUGGGAGGAAGGAC
rnacentral:lncRNA from 1 species